CAGUUUCCUGUAGCAAUACAGGGGAUGGGCGCACGGCGCACGGGUGCGUAACACGUGGGCAAUCUGCCCUCCGAUGGGGAAUAACCCCGCGAAAGCGGGGCUAAUACCGCAUAACAUUCCUUGGACGAUGGUCUGGGGACUCAAAACCGCAAGGUGUCGGAGGAGGAGCCCGCGCCCGAUUAGCUAGUUGGUGAGGUAACGGCUCACCAAGGCAAUGAUCGGUAGCUGGUCUGAGAGGAUGAUCAGCCACACUGGAACUGAGACACGGUCCAGACUCCUACGGGAGGCAGCAGUGGGGAAUCUUGCACAAUGGGCGAAAGCCUGAUGCAGCGACGCCGCGUGGGGGAUGAAGCUUUUCGGA
rnacentral:rRNA from 1 species